GCCAUUGUAGCUUAUGACAUAGCUUUUUUCCCCAUCAGAUCGACCUUGUUAAUCUAACAACUAUUAGCCAGUUUUGUCUUAUGCAUUGGC